rnacentral:rRNA from 1 species
CUACGGGAGGCAGCAGUGGGGAAUUUUCCGCAAUGGGCGAAAGCCUGACGGAGCAAUACCGCGUGAGGGAAGAAUGCCUAUGGGUUGUAAACCUCUUUUUUCAGGGAGGAAUAAAAUGACGUGUACCUGAAGAAUAAGCACCGGCUAACUCCGUGCCAGCAGCCGCGGUAAGACGGAGGAUGCAAGUGUUAUCCGGAAUCACUGGGCGUAAAGCGUCUGUAGGUGGUUUAAUAAGUCAACUGUUAAAUCUUGAGGCUCAACUUCAAAAUCGCAGUCGAAACUAUUAGACUAGAGUAUAGUAGAGGUAAAGGGAAUUUCCAGUGGAGCGGUGAAAUGCGUAGAGAUUGGAAAGAACACCGAUGGCGAAAGCACUUUACUGGGCUAUUACUAACACUCAGAGACGAAAGCUAGGGUAGCAAAUGGGAUUAGAUACCCCAGUAGUCCUAGCUGUAAACAAUGGAUACUAGAUGUUGAACAGAUCGACCUGUGCAGUAUCAAAGCUAACGCGUUAAGUAUCCCGCCUGGGAAGUAUGCUCGCAAGAGUGAAACUCAAAG